UAAAGCAGUACUUUCUAAUAGGAUACUGUUUCAUUUGCUGCGAUCCAUACAGGUUCACUACUUGACUUCCGUUUGCCAUCAGGAAAAAACUCAAAAUGUUAGGCAACGUAGGUCGCAGUUUAUUAAGGAGUUCAGCAAUACAAAAACAGCUGAUGCUGCAGAAAAGAACUAUGUUGGAAGCACCUCCAAGAUAUAGAAUUUCUUUCGCUGAGAAAGUAAUAACUGGAGCCAUUACAACGUUUGCUGUUUGUGGCCCUAUAUGUUGGGUGACAUACUACACAGAUGCUUACUUAGAAGAAUCAAAUAAACAAUAAAAGAAAUGGAAUAACUUUACAUUGACAUUUUGUAUUUGAACAAAAUGACUCUACAUGUUUUAUUAAAAUAGCUUUGUGAAUAAACUAAGUACCCCUUCUUAA